GAGUUUGAUCGUGGCUCAGAACGAACGCUGGCGGCAGGCCUAACACAUGCAAGUCGAACGCCCGUAGCAAUACGGGAGUGGCAGACGGGUGAGUAACACGUGGGAACGUACCCUUUGGUUCGGAACAACUCCGGGAAACUGGAGCUAAUACCGGAUAAGCCCUACGGGGGAAAGAUUUAUCGCCGAAGGAUCGGCCCGCGUCGGAUUAGCUAGUUGGUGGGGUAAAAGCUCACCAAGGCGACGAUCCGUAGCUGGUCUGA
rnacentral:rRNA from 1 species